rnacentral:misc_RNA from 1 species
AACCUAAAAACUAAAUAAUUAAUUUCUCAAAAUCCAAAGAUUGAAGUGUAAUAUAAAGCAAAGUUCAGGACCAAGUUAUAAAUUUCCCAUUUAAUUGAUACAGGGUGUAUGAGUAUGUAUUUAGCCAUUCCAACAAUGACAAUGUCCAGCCUUAUAUAUAUUCAAAUGGGUACAAACCUAUGCUACAGGGUCAAACAAUUGGCUACAGAAUAAUAUAAAAGGUAAUCCAAGUUAGACAAACAAUAAUACAUUGUAAAAAGAAAGCUUUGUGAUGAGGCCUGGAGGCCUGAAAUUAGAUUAAAGGCUACAUGAAUAUGUGCCCCAAAAUGUUGGUGUUAUGGCAUAUAUUACUUUCAUACCUAGGAUCCCAAAAUGAGAGUUGAUGCAAUGCAGUUUUUUUUUUUUUUUUUUU